rnacentral:lncRNA from 1 species
CCCAUUGUGUCUCUCCCUUGCUCAUCUUGACACUAAUGAAAGCCACUAGAUGUCACUACUAUAUAGUAGGAAUAAAGUUAAGAUAAUAUUUUUUUGGCAAUAAAUGUCCUGACUCAUAAGGAAGCUGGGUUAUAAAAGCCGUGGAUAGUUUGGAUUCCUUCCAGUUAAAAAACAAAACAAAACUUUUUUUUUUUUUUUUUUUUUUUACUAAAAAUAUUGGAUUCAAGUUCAAAACAGUCAUUUAACAAAUAACAUUGACUUGUAUUUUAAAAGGAAAAAUACUUUGAAGUUAAUACCAAGUAAAGAAACGUGGUCUGUGGCUCUGAGAACUGCGAUGAUGGGAAAAAUUAUAUCUGGAGGUCUACAGUGCUAAAGACAAGGCUUGACUAAAUGUAGGGUUGGGGACGUUCAGGAGUACUCAUAUUCUCUUACUCAACCAGACGUGGAGGCAAAAGGCCAGAGAAAUAAUAGUAAUAGCAGUAAUAAUAUUGUAUAUUUAUAUGGUGCCUUUCAUCUCCCAGAUUUCUACGCUGCAGUGUCUAGGUGACUGCAGAUACAAUAAUCACUUUGCUCACCACCACCAUGGAACCACCCUUGGCAAGGCCACGGCAGCCAUCAAACAGCACGUUGGGAGUUACUGCUCCAAUUGCAAAGAUCACGAGGGCACGUUUGAAGCAGACAAUUGUGAAGCCUGGGAAAACUGCAGAUGGGCUGUGUGCUUGAGAGCUGCUCUAUCCUCCCAAGGAGAAACGCACCACUUCCAUUGCUACCAGCUCUGA